rnacentral:rRNA from 1 species
ACACGACCGUACCGCAAACCGACACUGGUGCGCGAGAUGAGUAUUCUAAGGCGCUUGAGAGAACUCAGGAGAAGGAACUCGGCAAAUUGACACCGUAACUUCGGAAGAAGGUGUGCCUUUAGUAGGUGAACCUGUACAAGGGGAGCCCAAUGAGGUUGCAAAAAAUCGGUGGCUGCGACUGUUUAAUAAAAACACAGCACUCUGCAAACACGAAAGUGGACGUAUAGGGUGUGACGCCUGCCCGGUGCUGGAAGAUUAAAUGAUGGGGUGCAAGCUCUUGAUUGAAGUCCCAGUAAACGGCGGCCGUAACAAUAACGGUCCUAAGGUAGCGAAAUUCCUUGUCGGGUAAGUUCCGACCUGCACGAAUGGCGUAACGAUGGCCACACUGUCUCCUCCUGAGACUCAGCGAAGUUGAAAUGUUUGUGAUGAUGCAAUCUCCCCGCGGAAAGACGGAAAGACCCCAUGAACCUUUACUGUAGCUUUGUAUUGGACUUUGAACAGAUCUGUGUAGGAUAGGUGGGAGGCUUUGAAGUGUGGUCGCUAGAUCGCAUGGAGCCAACGUUGAAAUACCACCCUGGUGUGUUUGAGGUUCUAACCUAGGCCCGUAAUCCGGGUCGGGGACAGUGCAUGGUAGGCAGUUUGACUGGGGCGGUCUCCUCCCAAAGCGUAACGGAGGAGUUCGAAGGUACGCUAGGUACGGUCGGACAUCGUGCUAAUAGUGCAAUGGCAUAAGCGUGCUUAACUGCGAGACUGACAAGUCGAGCAGAUGCGAAAGCAGGACAUAGUGGUCCGGUGGUUCUGUAUGGAAGGGCCAUCGCUCAACGGAUAAAAGGUACUCUGGGGAUAACAGGCUGAUACCGCCCAAGAGUUCAUAUCGACGGCGGUGUUUGGCACCUCGAUGUCGGCUCAUCUCAUCCUGGGGCUGUAGCCGGUCCCAGGGGUAUGGCUGUUCGCCAUUUAAAGAGGUACGUGAGCUGGGUUUAAAACGUCGUGAGACAGUUUGGUCCCUAUCUUCCGUGGGCGCUGCAGAUUUGAGGAAGCCUGCUCCUAGUACGAGAGGACCGGAGUGGACACACCUCUGGUGUAUCGGUUGUCACGCCAGUGGCAUUGCCGAGUAGCUAUGUGUGGAAGAGAUAACCGCUGAAAGCAUCUAAGCGGGAAACUCGUUUCAAGAUGAGAUCUGCCGGGGCCUUGAGCCCCCUAAAGAGUCGUUCAAGACCAGGACGUUGAUAGGUCGGGUGUGGAAGCGCAGUAAUGCGUUAAGCUAACCGAUACUAAUUGCUCGUGCGGCUUGACCAA